rnacentral:lncRNA from 1 species
GAGCACGACAGUGCAGGUGAGCAUGAAGGAUGGACAAUCUUCGGGGAUUUUAGAUUGGGAACACAACAAAACACUAACACUCAGGGAUUUGGGAAUAGUCAGACGUCUGCUAAUAUCGAUGAUUCGUUUUUAGAUCGAAUCAAUGAAUUGUUAAACGAAUUCAAUCAAUGGCACCAGCGUGACCAAGAAGAACAAUAACGUCGUCUAUCAUUUUAUUUUUAGAUCAUAUGUUACUAAUUUUAUGCUUUAUU